rnacentral:lncRNA from 1 species
UGGUCCCAUAGAAAAAUACCAAAGCUAGCCAGCUGGCCUCUUUGCCUCUUUGUUGUUCAACACACAAGCACACAGCAAGGGUCCCUUCCAAGGGUGAGCAAUACGAUACCAUUUAAGUAGGAUAAAGUGCUCUCUGGACACUGAGCCUGCGCAAUGCCUCCGCCUUGAACUUUUCAGCCUUCACAAUUGUAAAGAGUAAAUGUUUUUUUCAUUUUUAUUUGUUUACACUUUUUAGAAGUUAUUUGUAUGUGUACCUAUGUGCGUGCAGGUGGGCUUGCUUCUGUGUGGAGAUCAGAAGCCGACUCGGGGUGCCUUUCUUGCUUUCCACUUAUUAUUAUUUUCUUCAGUGGGGGUCUCUCACUGAACUCAGAGUUUGCCUCUUGGCUAGGCUGACUUGCCAGUGAGUUCCAAGACUGCUGGUAUAUAGCUCCUCCCUCCUCCAGCAAGUUACAGGCUAGCCCCUGCACCUAGCUUCUUUGUGUGUUCUGGAGAUCUGGACUCAGGUUCUCAAGUUGGUAACAGAGCAGCAGGUCUUAUACCCACUCAGCCAUCUCCCUAGUCCCGAUGUGGAUUCUUAGUAAACAACACGGCCCAGGUGCUUUGCUACCACAGCACAAAGGAGCUAAAUUCCCAGCCUCAGUGGGAUCAUUGUGAUUUUUUAGGGGGAAGCUAACUUUUCUUGACGUUGGGGUCAGGACUAUGAGUAAGGCCCAGGAAAGGCUGCCAUCCAUUCCACCCUUUCUCCUCUGAGCGCUCUGUGAGAAAACAAGCAAAUCAUCUGAUUCGAGGGCAGAUUCUCAGAUUUUAUUUCCCAUUUCCUGCCCUUGGCUGUCUUUUCUUGAAGCCUGAACAAUGCCAGAAACUCGGUUCUUUCUCCUUACUCUUCCGCUGCUUGGAAACGACGCAGGGGAAGGUUCCAGGGCCUGGUGUUAUCUCAGAAACCCAAGUGGAUCUCAGCUCACAGUCUGUUUUCUGUGGCUAGCCUGUCAAACAGAGUUUGGCUGCUAGGAAUGACCAUUGUUUGAAUACGGGGCCAAGUGCCAUGCACAGGGCUGAUUCUGCUUUCAUUUCCUGAGAACGGACUGCAUCUCUGGCCUCUGAGGUCAGCUUGAAUGCGCGGUAUACAAAGAUGGGAUUCACAUUCAGUUUUGACUUUUAAUUCCAUUGAUAUCUGUUAGACGGGCUGGGGAUGUAACCUAGUAGGUAGAGUGCAUACUUAGCACACAUAAAGCUCUGAGAGUCAGCUCAAGAACUACAGGAAACCGGAGGUAGAGGUACACACGCCAGUGACCCAGCGUUCCGGAGGUAGAGGCAGAAAGAUUAGAAGUUCAAGGUCAUCAUUGCAACACAAAGCGUUCAAGACCAGCCUGGACUGCAUGAGACCCCACCUGAAACAAAGCAAACCAAACUAAACAAACAGACAAACAAACAAAUGGGCGAGUUAAGAAGGCUCAGAGAGUAAAGGUGCUCACUGCAUAGCCUUUUCUGGAGUCUACAUGGUGGAAGAAGAAGAAAACUAAUUUUCACAAGUUGCAUUAGUUCUGUGACAUGCACAUCCAACCAUGUACACACACACAACUAAUAAUUUAUUUUUUAAAUCCAGAAUCUGGAAUUUAAUACUAAAACUAUAUUGAACCCUUAUUAGAUGGUAGAGCCAGGGCUGGAAUAAUGAUAUUUUCCCAGGAGUGGACAGUUCCAUCUGUGUUGUUGUCUGAGUCGACUUGAGCAAGUCAUGAAACCACACUUCUCCUCUGCAACCCAGAAAGGUGACCUGUGGGUGUUGUGUGGCACUCAUUAAACAGAAUCAACCGACUGCUUGUGAGCUAGACAUUCAUAUGCAGUCGUGCCUGGGCUUUAUCAUUCCGUACCACUCCAGCAGAGGCCAGAGAUGUCAAGUAAACACGGACACUUCUAAGGCUGAGGCUUUGAAAUCCUUACCGUAAAUGCUGUCCUCUGAACUAGAGCUUCCUCUUCUGCCCUGAAAGAAAUCAGAGGAAAUGCCUACAGCCUCUGUACGGAAAGUGGUCCUUUGUCACGUGGCAGAAUUUCCUUUCCUCUGAACUCGUGACACCCAGAUGGCAUUGCGAGUUUAGUCUUGAGAGCCUGCUCAGCUGCAGUGUUCAGGGUUUGUAUGUGAGCCUUGGGUGGGGACAUGGAAGUUGAAAAGAGAGGGACUCUCACGAAACAAAUAAAGCAAACAGGACAAUGGACCUCAACUCGUUUGUGCAAGAUGCUCUCUAGCCCCUUUUAUUGUCUAUGUGUGUGCAUAUGCACACACGUGCGUGCACACAGACACACACACACAAAGACCUAGGGAUUGGAGUCAGGGCCACAUGUGUGUAAGGCAGGUGCUCUAUCACUGAGCUACAACACAGUCUGUGUGCAGUUCAAAACAGAUGCUUUGGUUCUAGAAGGGUGGUUCAAAGAUCCUUGAACACACUUAUUAUUGAACACAGAGGGUUCCACUUACAAAAAGUGUUAGUUCCUACCUAGAACCUUCCAUAUGUUUUCAAGCUCUUGCCAUUUAGCAGUGCCUAGAGAAUCUAAAUCCCAUGGGAUUAGUUUCUUAAAUUGUAUUCUAUCUAAAACCUCUGCUAAUCUGCUAACCUCAGAACUCUAACUAUACUUAGAGACUCCUCCCC